UCCGUAACGAGCGCAAACCCUUGUCCUUAGUUACCAGCACGUUAUGGUGGGCACUCUAAGGAGACUGCCGGUGACAAACCGGAGGAAGGUGGGGAUGACGUCAAGUCAUCAUGGCCCUUACGGCCUGGGCUACACACGUGCUACAAUGGUCGGUACAAAGGGUUGCCAAGCCGCGAGGUGGAGCUAAUCCCAUAAAACCGAUCGUAGUCCGGAUCGCAGUCUGCAACUCGACUGCGUGAAGUCGGAAUCGCUAGUAAUCGUGAAUCAGAAUGUCACGGUGAAUACGUUCCCGGGCCUU
rnacentral:rRNA from 1 species